CUUCACCGAGCCCAGCAGCAGCGGCCGGUCGGCGUCGCGGUCCUUGCCGUACGUGGCCUGGAGGGCCUGCGCCUC
rnacentral:antisense_RNA from 1 species